UACGGAGGGAGCUAGCGUUGUUCGGAAUUACUGGGCGUAAAGCGCACGUAGGCGGCUUUGUAAGUUAGAGGUGAAAGCCCGGAGCUCAACUCCGGAAUUGCCUUUAAGACUGCAUCGCUUGAAUCCGGGAGAGGUGAGUGGAAUUCCGAGUGUAGAGGUGAAAUUCGUAGAUAUCAGGAGGAACACCAAUAGCGAAGGCAGCUCGCUGGGACGGUACUGACGCUAAGGCGCGAAAGCGUGGGGAGCGAACAGG
rnacentral:rRNA from 1 species